AAAAAACCACUAGCUGUCUUGUACACAAAACCAGUGGUAUUUUAGGUCUUUAAAUCAGCUUCCUGAAAUAACUUUCCUUAUAUAGCCUCUUUGCUGAUGUGCUCCCCUUCCCAAAACGACGUCUCUGAAACCUUACUUUGUCUCCAUUAACACCCUCUCUUCUCCAAGGUCUUUUGGAAGUGAAGAAAAUGGGGAGGGGGAAGAUAGUGAUAAGAAGGAUUGAUAACUCGACAAGCAGGCAAGUGACCUUCUCAAAGAGGAGGAAUGGAUUGUUGAAGAAAGCGAAAGAACUGGCGAUCCUUUGCGACGCAGAAGUUGGAGUCAUGAUCUUCUCUAGCACCGGCAAGCUCUAUGAUUUCUCCAGCACCAGCAUGAAAUCAGUCAUUGAAAGAUACAACAAAUCAAAAGACGAGCAUCAUCAAAUGGGCAACCCAACCUCUGAAGUCAAGUUCUGGCAAAGGGAGGCAGCAGUGUUGAGACAGCAACUGCAAACCUUGCAAGAAAAUCAUCGGCAAAUGAUGGGUGAACAACUUUCUGGCUUAAGCAUAACAGAUUUGCAGAAUUUGGAGAGCCAAUUGGAAAUGAGUCUUCAGGGUGUUCGCAUGAAAAAGGACCAAAUUUUAAUGGAUCAAAUACAAGAACUAAAUAGAAAGGGCAACCUCAUUCACCAAGAAAAUGUUGAACUCUAUCAGAAGGUCUAUGGAACAAGGGACGUAAACAGAGCAAACAGAAAUUCCCUUCUCACAAAUGGUCUGGCCAUCGGAGAGGAAUCACAUGUACCUGUCCAUCUCCAGCUUAGCCAGCCACAACAACAAAACCAUGAUACACCAGCUACAAAGUUGGGGUACAAUUUCCUCCACAGCACAAGUAUUUAAAUAUGAUUAUCAAUUAGUUUACCAGAGUCUUUGAUGCCAAACUUUUGUCCCCCAUAACUGCAGCAGACUACAACUGCAUUAGCGAAGAUGAGGGAUGCAUCCUCACUGGGAAUGGAUGUUGUGUCAUUUUGAUGACCCAUAAAUUACAAGAUCAUGCUUCUAUUAUUGCAUUGUGAAAAAUUCAAAGCGAUUCCAAGAUACCAAAACCCUCAAAUGUGACAGGAUAUGCACCUCAAUUAUAUGCCUGGUUUCGGACAUACAAAACCCAUAUGACCACUGUGGAAGGAGCAUUAAUUGGUCAGCUAGAAGAAGUCUUUCGAGUUGGAAUCUGAUGCAUGCCAAAUAUGAAAGAGCAGCUGGAGCCUGGCUAGUUGGAAUCUGAUGCGUGCAGUUCAGUUUUUUAAGAAAGUUUGCAGCAGAGAAAACAGGUUUCCCUUCCAAAUGACCUACAACUGUGCAUGAACAUCCAGUUCUUGGAAUAAAUAGGAAAAUAAGAUUUCAAAAACAACUUGAUGGUAGUUAACUCCCUUGCGAACAGGUAUUAAAGAUUCAGGUCUGUUCUCAUCCAGGUCAAAAAUGAAUUUAAGAAUAAGAGUGAGCUCUUGAUUUCUAGAACUUAAUUUCUAAAGGAUCUUUAUUAUUUUUAUAACUAUUCUUCACUUCAAAAUA